GAUGAACGCUGGCGGAGUGCCUAAUACAUGCAAGUCGAGCGAAGCGGGGACGGGUGAGUAACACGUGGAUAACCUCCUAUAAGACUGGGAUAACUUAGUGAAACCGGAGCUAAACCGGAUACUUAGAGCAGGUUCCGGGAUGCAUUCGCUAGUGGGUAAGGUAACGGCUUACCAAGGCAACGAUGCAUAGCCGACCUGAGAGGGGGAUCGGCCACACGGGAACUGAGACACGGUCCAGACUCCUACGGGAGGCAGCAGUAGGGAAUCUUCCGCAAUGGGCGAAAGCCUGACGGAGCAACGCCGCGUGAGUGAAGAAGGUCUUCGGAUCGUAAAACUCUGUUAGUAGGGAAGCGGUACCUAAUCAGAAAGCCACGGCUAACUACGUGCCAGCAGCCGCGGUAAUUC
rnacentral:rRNA from 1 species